CGCUGUUACAGCGUGGUAGCAACAGGACCAAAACAGCAGAGAUGUUUAGCCUCACACUUUAAAGCUCUUAGUUGUUGCUGAAAUUGACCCACUAUGCUGUUUACUUUGUGCAUCUAUGUCAUAUCGUUGAAUUUACCUUUAAAACAGAACGACAAAACAGAAACAAAACCGAAAGUGAAAAAACUGCCUGAUUUGAGGAUCAAACCCACAAUGGAAGCUGUAAGCAAAGGUUUAAAGGAAAAUGUCAUAAUUUCAACCUCAUAUUCAUCAUCUCCAGCACGACCCCGACGUCAACAUAUGUGAAAACGGUGACCGGAGAUUCUCUCUACCACAUGCAAAUGCCUCCAUGGAGCUCAUAAGUAUAGCCUAUUUUGGUGGUUCACAAUAUCGGCCGACCAACCCCAAUUGGCACACCAUGAGGAGAGAAAGGUUGAU
rnacentral:lncRNA from 1 species